AGCUUCAUGAAGUGGCAAUAUCGUAGCCACUGAGGUGCACCUGAGGAGCAGUUAUUGCUAAUUGAAAACUUUUCCCAAUACCCUGUCAUGAUGACUUGCAAUAUAGCCGGCGCUGGCAAUUUUUGACGGUCUCUACAGAGA